AUGAAUCAAGCCGACUCAAACACAGCAGCUAUUCCACAUGCAGUGGAAGAUAUUCAAGGAGACGACAGAUGGAUAUCUCAGCACAACAGAUUUGUCCUGGAUGGUAAAGACAAAAAGCCUAACGUUGUGUUUGUGGGAGACCCCAUGGUGCAGUUAAUGCAGCAACACGAGAUAUGGCGAGAGCUUUUUUCCCCGUUUCACGCACUGAAUUUUAGAACUGAGGAAGAUACAAGACAUGUUUUAUAGAAAAUAAAGAGUAGAGAACUGGAGAAUAUUAAACUUAAGGUCAUUGUUCUCUGGGUAAAAACAAACAACCAUGAAAAUACAGCAGUAGAGUUAGAAGGUAGGAUCAAGGCCAUCAUUCACUCUACCAAUUUAUCAACAUAAGGCAGCCACAAGGCAAAAUUCUUGUAUUGGAUGUGUUACCUUGAGGUGAGAAGCCCAACACUUUGAGGCAAAAGGUGAACCAGCUUCUCAAGGUUUCCUUGCUGAAGCUUGCCCAUGUGUAGGUCCUGCAUACAGACGGGGGCUUCAUGCACCCUGACAGUGCCAUCUCCUGCCAUGACAUAUUUGAUUCUCUUCAUCUUACAGGAGAGGGCUCUGCAAAGAUCUGCAGAGCCCUCUAUGAACUGAUCAUGCAGCUGAUGGAGGAACACCCAAGGAGAGAAACAAACCACCAUUGCCUGA
rnacentral:lncRNA from 1 species